UCCUCUAAAGACUUCCAUACCAUAACAGCUGUUUUCUUUUCUUAAAUGUGUUUGUGUUUCAUACCCCCUGAUAACAUAUCUAUGUACCUUGUAUCUAUGAAUGGCACACAGUACAUAUUAUAAUGAUUGCUGGGAUAACCUGACUUCCAUUGGAUAAUAUUUAUGCACCAAUAUGGACACUUUUUUGUUUCUUUUCACUUCCAGGAGGUAUUGUGGGAUUUGUGUCUGCUUCAUCCCAUGCAUUAUUCUGACCUGUUGAUUUUUUUUUAAUUGGGUUAUCUUUUUCUGUCUGAAACAUUUUGAAGACUAAUUACUCAGGGUUUAAUGACAAAAAAAAACAAACAGCAACAUGGUAAAUCAGUUGAAGUUCCACUUUCACCAUCUUUAUGUCAUGUUUUGUUGUUUUUUGUAUCACUGAUAUAUAUAUAUAUUUGUAAUGAUGUAUCUGAAUGCAUUCUGUUUCUCCAGUUUCACGUAUGUAUUUCCUGUUGAUGUAAAUUUGGUUGUUUUAAACAAAAAACAAUGUCUAUUGUGAAAACUAAUAUGUAUAUACAAAAGUUGUAUUAAAUUAUGACCUGACUGUUUUGUGUGUGUACAGGAUUCAUGCAUAUUGAAGGCUGAUAUAAAUAUUGUCAAUGAUAUGAACUACUUGCAUUAAGAGGUUUAUAUUGUUAGGUUGCUUUUUAUUUUUUUUUGAAUCUUAAAUGCUUGGAAUAAACAUAACAUUAAUAUGAAAAUCAU